UGGAGGUCGGGUGCCGGCAGUUGGGCGCUCGCGGGGUUCCCCCUGGAGUCGGCACGCGGGCUGGAGAGGGGGGCACGGAAGCCCCACACUGUGCCGCACGCUGCCGAUUUCGAUUGUCACUACAGGAAAUUUAAUUAAACUGGGAGCCAUAAAUCCGUGAACCUCUGGGGGCAAAUUAUAAGCAAUUAAGAUGCUCUGGUUUCAAGGAAAUAGCAUGCAACUUGCCAAACACUCCUUUCAACUGCUCUUGAGAAAUCUAUCUGCCUCCAAGACUGCUCUGCCUGUGCUAACCUUAUUCACAAAGGAUCCGUGCCCCCUCUGUGAUGAAGCCAAGGAAGUACUGGAGCCUUAUAAAAACAGGUUUAUUUUACAGGAGGUGGACAUCACACUUCCAGAAAACUCUGCUUGGUAUGACAGAUAUAAAUUUGACAUCCCCGUCUUUCAUUUGAAUGGCCAGUUUCUGAUGAUGCAUCGAGUAGACGUCUCAAAACUUGAAAAACAGCUCCAGAAACUUGAGCAGCAAGGUGCAGGAGGCUGAUGAACGCCCUCAGGAUUUUCCACCCUCUCUGUCCAGAACUCAUUUUCCUGAGGAAAUGACUGUGGCCUCAUGCUCCUUUUGCCACUUUCACACAGCUCUAAGGAUGUUCUGAACUCAGUGGUGCCAAAUAAAUGAAGAUGAAAUCAAAGAGAUGUGCUCCAGCUAGCCUGGAAGGAGGCAAACAUGCUUCCUUCCAUGUUGUGAACUGCCAACAAGCCAAGAAACUGUGGGCAACCUCUAGGAGCUGAGAGUAGUUCCUGGCCAACAGCCAGCAGGAAAAUGGAGACCUCAGUCCUACAGCUUCAAGGAGAUGAAUCCUGUCAACAAUUAGUGAUCCUAGAAGAGAACCAUGAAACCCAGACCCAGAAAGCUGGAGGCCAUCUUACAACUUCAUCACUCAAGGGACCACACUCCUGCCCUUCCCUGCUUCUCCCACCUUGCCCCACACCAGCCCCAGAAGGAUCUUGCUCCUGCCAGGAGCAAGAAGAGAAAGACCUUCCCCUUCCACAGCUGCCCACCUUCAAGUGGCUUCUCACUGGGAUAAGGGUAAGACUUAAUUUUCAACCAAGUUCCACAUUAUAUAACACGGGAAUAGAUGCACUAAACAGUAUUUAGAGUGACCAAGGACUUUCUGUUGCCUAAGAAUGCUCGAAACUGUCCUAACACUACCUAGUUUUUAUUUUAUCCUAGACAGAGUGAGAAACUCCCCAGUGAAUACAUUUUAUAGGGAUAGUGGGAGACAUAAAUAAAAAUGCUUCCUAAUUGUAUUCCAUAUUCAGAGCUUUGAUUACAUGUGCCUAAUGUUUUUUACCUAAAGAUCUUCAAUGAAUUUAAUUUUGAGAGAGGAAUAUGGUCAUGUGACUAAGAAUCCUGGAGACUUUCAGUAAUCCAUCUGGUCCCAACAGCUGGCAAACGGAAAGGCAGCUAUCUAGAAACAUGUCAUCUAAAAACGUGGUGUGAUUAUCCCACUGUUGAUAAGCAUCAGACAAUGUUAUGUCACUUAUAGUCAUUUUCCUAUGAUAUUUGUAGCAGCAAUUACUUUUCCUUUCUAAAAUUAUGUUUAGGGAUUGAUUUGUUUUUAAAUAAAGACUGAUUUUGACACAAGAAGCUCAUAAUAUUCUCCCAGUCCCAAAGGAAAUAGUGAUAUAACCUCUUUUUUUCCUAAGCUAAUGCUUUAAAAAGAAGUGGUAUUAACAUUGAGUUUGGGACUGCAUAUUGCUGCUCUUGAUUACAGUGCUGCUUUCUUCCAGAUGUCUCAUCAUAACAUCAUAAGGGCUUACCGGAACACAUAACUCUUUGGCCAAUUUAUUGAAGGAAGCAGAGGUUCACUCAGAUGAGGGUUAUUUUGUUUGUUUGCUUAUAAUAAUGCAGAGACUCAUAGAAACCUGACAAUAGGAAUCACAGUAGGGCCAGGCCUCAGGAAAUACUCUUAGAGAGCCACAGAAGGGAUGCAAUGUACAACGCAAUAAAUAUAAUGAACACUGCUGUAUGUUACGUAUGAAAGUUGUUAAGGCAGUAAAUCCUAAGAAUUCUCAUCACAAGGAAAAAAUUUUUUUUCCUUUUAUUUUGUAUCUAUAUGAGAAGAUAGAUGUUCAACAAAACUUACUGUGGUAAUCAUUUCAUGAUGUAUGUAAGUCAAAUCAU